CUAACACAUGCAAGUCGAACGGAACUGUUUGAAAGAUUUCUUCGGAAUGAAUUUGAUUUAGUUUAGUGGCGGACGGGUGAGUAACGCGUGAGUAACCUGCCUUCAAGAGGGGGAUAACAUUCUGAAAAGAAUGCUAAUACCGCAUGACAUAUUGGAACCACAUGGUUUUGAUAUCAAAGAUUUUAUCGCUUGAAGAUGGACUCGCGUCCGAUUAGUUAGUUGGUGAGGUAACGGCUCACCAAGACCGCGAUCGGUAGCCGGACUGAGAGGUUGAACGGCCACAUUGGGACUGAGACACGGCCCAGACUCCUACGGGAGGCAGCAGUGGGGGAUAUUGCGCAAUGGGGGCAACCCUGACGCAGCAACGCCGCGUGAAGGAUGAAGGUUUUCGGAUUGUAAACUUCUUUUAUUAAGGACGAAAAAUGACGGUACUUAAUGAAUAAGCUCCGGCUAACUACGUGCCAGCAGCCGCGGUAAUACGUAGGGAGCAAGCGUUGUCCGGAUUUACUGGGUGUAAAGGGUGCGUANGCGGCUUUGCAAGUCAGAUGUGAAAUCUAUGGGCUCAACCCAUAAACUGCAUUUGAAACUGUAGAGCUU
rnacentral:rRNA from 1 species